CAAUAGCGUAUAUUAAAGUUGUUGCAGUUAAAAAGCUCGUAGUUGGAUCUGUGGUGUGCGGUGGGCUCCGGGCACUUGUUGUCUGAGUAGCUCGCCGCUGCCAUCCUUGGGUGGAACCUGUGUGGCAUUAGGUUGUCGUGCAGGGGAUGCCCAUCGUUUACUGUGAAAAAUUAGAGUGUUCAAAGCAGGCUUAUGCCGUUGAAUAUAUUAGCAUGGAAUAAUGAGAUAGGACUUUUUCGCUAUUUUGUUGGUUUGCGCGAAGAGGUAAUGAUUAAUAGGGACAGUUGGGGGUAUUCGUAUUCCAUUGUCAGAGGUGAAAUUCUUGGAUUUUUGGAAGACGAGCUACUGCGAAAGCAUUUACCAAGGAUGUUUUCAUUAA
rnacentral:rRNA from 1 species